rnacentral:SRP_RNA from 1 species
GCCCGGCGCGGUGGCGGGUGCCUGUAGUCCCAGCUGCUCGGGAGGCUGAGGUGGGAGGAUCACUUGAGCCCAGGAGUUCUGCCCUGUAGUGGGCUAUGCCGAUUGGGUGUCCAAGCUAAGUUCGGCAUCAAUAUGGUGACCUCCUGGGAACAGGGGGGCACCAGGUUGCCUAAGGAGGGGUGAACCGGCCCAAGUUGGAAACAGAACAGGUCAAAACUCCCGUGCUGAUCAGUAGUGGGAUCGCGCCUGUGAAUAGCCACUGCACUCCAGCCUGGGCAACAUAGCGAGACCCUGUCUCU